CCUACGGGAGGCAGCAGUGAGGAAUAUUGCGCAAUGGGCGAAAGCCUGACGCAGCGACGCCGCGUGGGUGAUGAAGGCCUUCGGGUCGUAAAGCCCUGUCGGGGGGGACGAAAACUGACGGUACCCCGAAAGGAAGCACCGGCCAACUCCGUGCCAGCAGCCGCGGUAAUACGGAGGGUGCAAGCGUUGUCCGGAUUUACUGGGCGUAAAGGGCAGGUAGGCGGCCUGUUGUGUCGGGUGGGAAAUCCCACGGCUCAACCGUGGAACUGCGCCCGAAACUAACAGGCUUGAGUGCGGGAGGGGGAGGUGGAAUGCCCGGUGUAGGGGUGAAAUCCGUUGAUAUCGGGUAGAAUACCUGUGGCGAAGGCGACCUCCUGGCCCGUUACUGACGCUCAACUGCGAAAGCGUGGGGAGCAAACAGGAUUAGAUACCCCGGUAGU
rnacentral:rRNA from 1 species